UGGAUGGAGGUGAUGUCACAAUCAGGGGCACUCUAUUAAUAGAACAAGGAAGAAAAAGGUGAGUCAGGGGAACCACCUCCACUUGGCAGCGAGACUGACACUUGGAUCUGGUGGGUGGUUGGGGAGAAUGACACAUCUCCAUUAAGACUACAGAUUUCAGCACUGGGCAUACGGCUAGCCUCGAAGGAGUGAGAAAGAAUUCUGGGCCUACCCUCCAACUGGAAAAUACUACUUCAAAAGGAGAAGCUCCUCAAGAAGAGGAGGGUACAAUGUUUCUUCCAUGCGGACAACUACUAACUCCCCACCCUGGCAUUUGCACCUACACCUCAAGAAAUAUUUCCAGUGACUCAGAAAGCAAGUACUUGCCUAUGUUGGAAAGGUAAAUCCUACUUCAGUGAUCCCUUGGCCAGAACAAAACAGAAUUUUUCAACUGAGAAGACCAGGAAUCAAACACUUGGAAUCUUUGAACUGUAUGACUUUAAACAAGUCAUCUAACCCUUCUGUAGUUCAGGUUCUUCACCUGUCAAGCAAGGAAAACGCUUUAUAUCCUUUAUAUGUUGUCCUGAAGAUCAAAUGAUAAUAAAUGUGAAUGCAUACU